rnacentral:rRNA from 1 species
CAAGGUUUCCUGCGCAACGCUAAUCGGCGCAGGGUGAGUCGGCCCCUAAGGCGAGGCGGAAACGCGUAGUCGAUGGGAAGCACGUUAAUAUUCGUGCACUUGCAAUUAUUGCGAUGGAGAGACGGAGAAGGCUAGGCUAGCGCGGCGAUGGUUGUCCGCGUUCAAGCUAGUAGGCUGGUGACUUAGGUAAAUCCGGGUUGCCCAGGCCGAGAGGUGAUAACGAGCUCUUUCGAAAGAUCGAGUGAAGUAGUCGAUGCCAUGCUUCCAAGAAAAUCUUCUAAGCUUCAGCUUAUAUGUAACCGUACCCCAAACCGACACAGGUGGUCAGGUAGAGAAUACCGAGGCGAUCGAGUGAACUGUGGUUAAGGAACUCGGCAAAUUGCCCCCGUAACUUCGGGAGAAGGGGGGCCGCGGCUGGUGAUGGGACUUGCUCCCUGAGCUGGCUACGGCCGCAGAGACCAGGUGGAAGCGACUGUUUACUAAAAACACAGGUCCAUGCAAAGUCGCAAGACGACGUAUAUGGACUGACGCCUGCCCGGUGCUGGAACGUUAAGGGGACCAGUUAGUUCUUCGGAGCGAAGCUGAGAACUUAAGCGCCAGUAAACGGCGGUGGUAACUAUAACCAUCCUAAGGUAGCGAAAUUCCUUGUCGGGUAAGUUCCGACCUGCACGAAUGGCGUAACGACUUCCACGCUGUCUCAACCGCAGACUCGGCGAAAUUGCACUACGAGUAAAGAUGCUCGUUACGCGUGGCAGGACGGAAAGACCCCGGGACCUUUACUACAGCUUGGUAUUGGUGGUCGGUUCGAUUUGUGUAGCAUAGGUGGGAGACUUGGAAGCCCGGACGCCAGUUCGGGUGGAGUCAUCGUUGAAAUACCACUCUGAUCGUAUUGGCUGUCUAACCUCGAUCCGUGAUCCGGAUUAGGGACAGUGCCUGGUGGGUAGUUUAACUGGGGCGGUUGCCUCCCAAAGAGUAACGGAGGCGCUCAAAGGUUCCCUCAGCCUGGUUGGCAAUCAGGUGUCGAGUGUAAGUGCACAAGGGAGCUUGACUGUGAGACUGACAGGUCGAGCAGGGACGAAAGUCGGAACUAGUGAUCCGGCGCCGGCAUGUGGAAGCGGCGUCGCUCAACGGAUAAAAGGUACCCCGGGGAUAACAGGCUGAUCUUGCCCAAGAGUCCAUAUCGACGGCAUGGUUUGGCACCUCGAUGUCGGCUCGUCGCAUCCUGGGGCUGGAGUCGGUCCCAAGGGUUGGGCUGUUCGCCCAUUAAAGCGGCACGCGAGCUGGGUUUAGAACGUCGUGAGACAGUUCGGUCCCUAUCCGCCACGCGCGUAAGAGUCUUGAGGAGAUCUGUCCCUAGUACGAGAGGACCGGGACGGACGAACCUCUGGUGUGCCAGUUGUCCUGCCAAGGGCACGGCUGGUUAGCUACGUUCGGAAGGGAUAACCGCUGAAAGCAUCUAAGCGGGAAGCCCACUCCAAGAUGAGGGCUCUCACUGGUUUACCAGGUAAGGACCCCAGCUAGACGACUGGGUUGAUAGGCCGGAUGUGGAAGCACAGCAAUGUGUGGAGCUGACCGGUACUAAUAGUCCGAGGACUUGCUU